rnacentral:misc_RNA from 1 species
GGAAGUAAAAGUCUAACAAGGUUUCCGUAGGUGGACCUGCGGAAGGAUCAUUAUUGUAUAACCGAGGUGCGAGGGCUGUCGCUGACCCGAAAGGUCGUGCACGCCCGAGUGCCCUCACACACAUCCAUCUCACCCCUAUGUGCACCACCGCGUGGGUCCCCCUUUGGCUUGUUCGGAGGGGGGCUUACGUUUUCACACAAACUUUGUAUGCAGUGUAGAAUGUAUUUUUUGUUUUUGCGAUCACGCAAUCAAUACAACUUUCAACAACGGAUCUCUUGGCUCUC